UUGGCUUACUGGCAGAAAUUCUAAAACUGGAAUGAUGCAGAGAAAAUUAGCUUGACUCCUACAAAAGGGUGAUGCACACAUUUCUGAAACAUUCUACUUUGUA